GGGAAAUAGCAAAACUUACAAUGGAGGUUCGUGAAGAUGAUGAACUUUGAUGUGAUUUGAUGCUGAGAAAUGAAGUUGAGGGUCUUGUGAGAGAAUGAGAUGUGGCUCGAGAAUGAUGCUUCGAGAGAUAAAUGAAUAUGUGGCAAGGAAGCGUGAAUUGGAACACUGACAUAGCAAAAAGCAUUUGUUGAUUGGGAGAAAUUUGUUGUAGUGGAGGACAGAGAAUCUGAUAUGGAAGACAAGUGGAAAAUGGAAAAUGAGAGAAAAUGAAGGUGUGCUUGACAGGUGGCUAGAGGAGGAUCCCUAUGAUUCUCUAGCCUUGACUUUCAAGGAGGAAUUAUUUCUAGAGUUCAGAAAAUCAAUUUCUCAUUUGUCUCAAAAUUGAAUAUUCAGUGGUGCAGCUGAGUAUUUAUAGUGACC
rnacentral:lncRNA from 1 species